rnacentral:rRNA from 1 species
AUUGAACGCUGGCGGCAGGCCUAACACAUGCAAGUCGAACGAGUGGCGGAGGGGUGAAUAAUGUCUGGGAAACUGCCUGAUGGAGGGGGAUAACUACUGGAAACGGUAGCUAAUACCGCAUACCAUCAGAUGUGCCCAGAUGGGAUUAGCUAGUAGGUGGGGUAACGGCUCACCGAGGCGACGAUCCCUAGCGGGUCUGAGAGGAUGACCAGCCACACUGGAACUGAGACACGGCCCAGACUCCUACGGGAGGCAGCAGUGGGGAAUAUUGCACAAUGGGCGAAAGCCUGAUGCAGCCAUGCCGCGUGUAUGAAGAAGGCCUUCGGGUUGUAAAGUACUUUCAGUGGGGAGGCGUUACCCAAAGAAGAAGCACCGGCUAACUCCGUGCCAGCAGCCGCGGUAAUAC